CAGAGUGGGCAAGGUUAUAAAUUACAGUGUGACUGCAGCCUCCACCCGCAACUAUAGAACUUCUUCCUCAUAGCUAUAGCCGCUAUAAAAUGGUGUCUAAAUUGAGUACAAUACAAAAAAUAUUGUAUUGUAAUUGUUAUGUAAUCUGAAUAAUCUCUUCCCAGCCAGUGGGCGGUUCCCAGGCAGCAUAGCUAUCUCUCAGAGCACUUCAGGCAGUUUUUUCCACUGUUUUUCAGCAGGCACAGGCAGUUCUGUGCCCGAUGCGGGCAGCUCUAUGCACAGAGCUGUUUUUCAGGAGCACGCAGGCUGUAUCAAGUCACCAUGUAAACUGGUGACUUGAAACCAUGUAGGAGGCAUUGGAUAGCAUCGCUUCGGAAUACAGCUUCUUUAAUUUCCAUGAGCCCUGCUAGGUCAGAGGGAAGAUGGGAAAAUGGAGAGAAGACGGGGGAAGAAGAAAAAUCAGGAGAAAAGAGGACAGAGAAAGAAGAAAGAAAAAUUGAAGGAGGCCAAUUGUCGUGGAAAUUAUAGUCUCUCACAAAGAAUCAGACAGACAGUCCACGAGGCAGCGAUGAAGUCAGUCAGAGUUGCUUUAUUCAGCUGAAGGGAGUACACCCAGAAAACACACAAAGUGGUGCUAUAGGAUGACUCUACCCUCCAUUUUCCAUGAAUUGUAGUGUAUUUUAUGCUUUUAUGCUUGCGUCAUAAUUGUGUUAGGUAGUUAGAAGGUGACCAACACCCCCACUUGCUCACCCCCUUCAAAAUACAGGAAGUAUAGUAUUAGCCCUCAAUUAUGAACAUCUUAUGAUUGUGUCACUAUUAAUUUCAGUUGGUGGGUGAGGGUGACCAGGUACAAGACCCCUUACCUCCUCCUCUACCCCCAGUCAAAAAUCAUCGCUGUAUAGCCCUACAUUUCCCAUGUUCUCCGAUGAAUAUCUUAUGAUUGGGUCACCAGUCUGUGUUGAGAACAAUACUGUCAUAUGUGUAGACUUCACGCAAGUGAGCAUACAAAAUUCAGCAUCAGGUCAGGCACUGUCUAGUGAAGACACUAUGAGGACAUUGUAAACAUUGCAGCACAGGAUACACAAACUAUAGCUACAAAAUGUGAUGUCUGUCUCUGUUAUACAGAUUGCAAAAACUGCAUCCUUCUGUAUUACACUGAAUAUGGAGACGUGCAGUCACAUGAAGACAAACAAUAUGAUUGUUUGAGGAGAAAGGGUAAAAUUAGAAUUUAAUUUCAACAUGUGUCAUCACAGUUAAACUAUAAAGUUUUAGUUUUAAAUCUA